GUAAUGUGUUGGUGGUAGGCGUACUCCACCUUCUGUGUGAGGGAGCACCGCCGCGUGUGUGACCAGCUGCUCAAGAUUCACUCCCACCCACCCCUGGGACCACAAGUGCCUCGCCCCAUCAUCACUGGAUUGAGAGGGGCUGUCUGCUGCUGCCUGAUGCAAAAAGAUUAGUCCGCCACCACCACCACCAUCACCACCGCACCCAUUCCCAUUCCUGCCACAGUCCAGCGGCCCCUUCAAGCCUGGGGAGCCGAGAGCGGUCCGGUGAUCAGUGCCCAGGAGUGGAUAGCAAGCCGGCAGGAGUGGAUGCCUUCACAGGUGCUGGAGGAGACCUGGAUUGGUGGAUGAACGCUGCUGCCUGUCAACUCUGCCAUGACUGAUUGGGGCUUGUGUCAUCACAGCUGAAGAGGAACCCAGCUGUGUCAUCCUGUCUGUCCACAAGAACAAGUGGGGUCUGACAGAAGAGAAGUGUUUGUGGUGUCCGGGGAAUGCAGAGCCAGGCAUAGCACAUUAGAUAUUAGCAGUUUGUGUACACUGAUGGAAAGAGGCGAUGGCAAAGGUUGGUGUGGCUCUGUGUACGUACAUGACACAGUGGAAGUGUGUUUGUUGAUGCUUGAAGGGAAAUGGUGUUUGAUGUGUUAGAAGGUUUUAAAGGUCACAACAUUGACGUCUUUACCUGUGCAACAGUUCCAAUGUGAGUUGGAUGUGUUUUGCUUUAUACUUUUUGUUGUUUAUUUGGUGGAGGAAGGUUUGAAGGAAUUUUUUAACCUUGCAACUUGUAUUUAUUGGAGACUCUUUACCUGUGUUGUCAGAUUUGUUUGACAGUGUUGUAUUGAUUGGUAGAGAGAGAAUGUGAGGAAGUGUGUUGUGAGAGACAGAUGUGUUGUUGUCUGCACUAAAUCGUUGUGGUGAGGAGAUUUGACUUGUACAUAAUACUGCUGUUGUUCUGUUGUACUCUUGUUUCAUUAUGGAAUGUAUUGCCCUUGUCAACAACAAUUAUAAAUUAAUAAAUUAAUACUAAUAGUAAACUGUGUGUGUGUGUGUGUGUGUGUGUGUGUGUGUGUGUGUGUGUGUGUGUGUGUGUGUUUGUAAGAUGAAUGUACUUCCUAUUUUUUUUUCAUAACUAUAU
rnacentral:lncRNA from 1 species